rnacentral:rRNA from 1 species
AAAUUUAGCGGAGAAGACUAACUAGGAUUCCCUCAGUAGCUGCGAGCGAACAGGGAAGAGCCCAGCACCGAAUCCCGCGGCCGAUAUCGGGCGCCGGGAAAUGUGGUGUUAGGGAGGAUCCGUUUAUCCCGAGGUCGUGCGGUGCGUCCAAGUCCUUCUUGAACGAGGCCACAGCCCACAGAGGGUGCCAGGCCCGUAGCGACCGCUGCCGAUCGCGGGAGGAUCUCUCCUCAGAGUCGGGUUGCUUGAGAGUGCAGCCCUAAGUGGGUGGUAAACUCCAUCUAAGGCUAAAUAUGACCACGAGACCGAUAGCGAACAAGUACCGUGAGGGAAAGUUGAAAAGCACUUUGAAGAGAGAGUUCAAGAGUACGUGAAACCGUUCAGGGGUAAACCUGAGAAACCCGAAAGGUCGAAAGGGGAAAUUCAUUCGCGUCUCGGAGAUCGGAGCGGGACGGUCCAGUGACGGGCGGCGCGCGCGUCGCCCGCUUCUUCCGUUCCGCGUGUCCGGCUUCGAACGCGUGCACUUUUCCCCUAGUAGGACGUCGCGAUCCGUUGGGUGUCGGUCUAAGGCUCUCGCGGUGGAGCCCGAGCGCGCGUCUCGCGACGUUUCGCGCUCGGACCCGCGGUGCCCCGACCGACCCGCUCGACGGUAGACAGAUGGCGCGGGGCCGCUAACUCGCAAUUAGCGCCCGGCCCGCGGCAAGCGCGUCCGUUGCGACGGCGGCCGGACCUGGUGCCGGUCCUGUCCCCGGACGACUGUUGGCCGCGGUGUUCUCGGGCAGACCUCGUCUCUCGAAACGCCGAUCUGCGACGCUAUAGCUUUGGGUACUUUCAGGACCCGUCUUGAACCGCCC